ensembl:lncRNA
UUGAUACCUGUGGAGAGAAAAGGAGAGAGAGUGAAUAACACGAGGAGGAAUAGAGCGAACCCUGUACUUACAGUACGCUGUGUCCAGCCCAGAGGUGAAAGCCAUCCAAAGCAGAGUAACUGUGCUUUGCGUCCAAGUUGAUACCUGUGGAGAGGAAAGGAAAGAGAGAGUGAGUAACACAAGGAGAAACAGAGGAAACCUGUACUUACAGUACGCUGUGUCCAGCCCAGAGGUGAAAGCCAUCCAAAGCAGAGUAACUGUGCUUUGCGUCCAAGUUGAUACCUGUGGAGAGGAAAGGAAAGAGAGAUUGAUACCUGUGGAGAGAAAAGGAGAGAGAUUGAUACCUGUGGAGAGAAAAGGAGAGAGAGUGGGUAACACGAGGAGAGACCGAGGAAACCUGUACUUACGCCGCUGCCUGUGGAGAAAGAGAAAGCGAGUGAGCACCCAAGGAACGAACUGUGUGAACCAGUACUUACUGUGAGCUGUAAUCAGCGAAGAGCCGUUGCCUGUGGAGGAAGAGAAAGAGAGUGAGCACCCCGAGAACGAACUGUGUGAACCAGUACUUACCGUGAGCUGUAUUCAGCGAAGAGGAGGAAGAAGGAGGGCGCUACGGAUACCUAAGACUCAGGCCGGGGCCCGAGUCCCACGCCCCGGAUCCCCGUGGCCCCCUUGCUCCCUGACCUCUUCCCGGCCAUAGCCCAUCUGGAGGGCCGAGUCAGAGUUUAGUUUUAAUUGCCCUUUCCCUAUUCCCCAAGCUAUUUUUAAAUAUUUAAAUAAAGAUUGUUUUAUCACUUACUUGUUCUCGUGU